rnacentral:rRNA from 1 species
UACGUAGGGGCCGAGCGUUGUCCGGAGUUACUGGGCGUAAAGCGCGCGUAGGCGGCUACCUAAGUCGGAUGUGAAAGCCCCUGGCUUAACUGGGGAAGUGCACCCGAAACUGGGUAGCUAGAGUGCAAAAGAGGGUCGCGGAAUUCCCGGUGUAGAGGUGAAAUUCGUAGAUAUCGGGAGGAACACCGGUGGCGAAGGCGGCGACCUGGGUUGACACUGACGCUGAGGCGCGAAAGCGUGGGGAGCAAACAGG